UAUUUUUAUAAAGGAAACUAAUUUAAACGGACGAAGAUAUCAGCAGGUAUUUGGGACAUUUUUAAGGCUUUUAAUAAUUGAAAUACAUUGUUGUUUGUUUUCUUAUUGAUUAAUUUAGUGUUUUUUUCAUUUUAAUAGUUGACUAUUCACAAUUGUAAUGGAGCGUUGAAAGACUGCUCCAACUGUUUGUUCAUCAGUCACAAAAUCAAGUCGUGUCUUUUUGUAACAACCAUUUAUUUGUGAACAAGGUGUAAUUGUUUUACAACUGAACCAACGUGUCGGUUCUGAAUACUAUAAAGUCAAAUGCGAAAUGGAAAGAUUGUUGGACUUUGGUGGUCAAAAUAUUUACCACAUGACGCACCAACUGUUUAUAACAAGAAGGGGUACAUUUGUUCUGAUAUUCAAUGGCAGCAAAGGUAUUCAUGAAGAAAUAUCAGACUACAUUGGACUUCCUAGCUGUAAACUAUCACAGGAAUGCAGCAGCUAUGUUACUAUAAGUGAGUGAGAAAAAAAGUUGUCUAUGUAAAUACAAAUAGGACAUGAAUAGUCUGACGAAAGGUGUUUCAGCUGUUUUUUUAUAAAUGGAAAGUAGAUAUAACAUUAAGACUUUUAUUCAUUUGUAAUACAUUUUAUGUUGGGUUUUUUUAAUUGACUUUGUUUUGUGUCUUAUCUUUUUUUUUUUUUAAUUUUAAUGGUAGAAUUUUUUAUCACAUUUAAAGAUUGCUCCGUUCGUCCAUCACAACAACUAGUUGUGUCUUUUUGCAACAAUCAUUUAUUUGUGAACAAGGUGCAAUUGUUUUACAGCUGAACCAACUUGUCAGUUUUGAAUACUAUAAAGCCAAAUGCGAAAUGAAAAGAUUAUGGGACUUUGGUGGUCAAAAAAUGUAUCACAUGACGCACCAACUGUUUAUUACAAGUAGGGGUACAUUUGUGCUAAUCUUCAAUGGCGGCAAAGGUAUUCAUGAUGAAAUAUCAGACUACAUAGACUUCCUAGCUGUAACGAUCAAUGAAAUACAGCAGUCAUGUUACCCAUUAGUAAAUAAGAAAACAAGUCAUCUUUUUACAGAAAAAUAAGACAUUUUAUAAGGAAGGUGUUUGAGCAGUUUACCACAAAACCUGACGAUUAUUUUAUAAAGGAAACUUAUUUCAACAGACGAAGAUAUCAGCAGUUAUUUGGGACAUUUUAAAGGCUUUUCAUCAUGGCAAUACAUUGUGGUUUGUUUUCAUAUUGAUUUAUUUUUUUUAAUUUUUUAAUUUUAAUAGUUGACUUUUCACAUUGUAAUGGAGCGUUGAAAGACUGCUCCAUCCGUUUGUUCAUCGAUUGUGGGACUUUGGUGGUCAAAAAAUGUAUCACAUGACGCGCCAACUGUUUAUGACAAGUAGGGGUACAUUUGUGCUAAUCUUCAAUGGCGGCAAAGGUAUUCAUGAAGACAUAUCAGACUACACAGACUUCCUAGCUGUAACGAUCAACGAAAUACAGCAGUCAUGUUACCCAUUAGUAAAUAAGAAAACAAGUCAUCUUUUUACAGAAAAUAAGACAUUUUAUAAGGAAGAUGUUCGAGUAGCUUCAACACAAAACCUGACGAUUAUUUUAUAAAGGAAACUUUUUCAACAGACGAAGAUAUCAGCAGUUAUUUGGGACAUUUUUACGGCUUUUCAUCAUGGCAAUACAUUGUUGUUUGUUUUCAUAUUAAUUAAUUUUUUUUUUUUUAUUUAUUUUAAUAGUUGACUUUUCACAUUGUAAUGGAGCGUUGAAAGACUGCUCCAUUCGUUUGUUCAUCAGUCACAGCAUCAAGUUGUGUUUUUUGUAACAACCAUUCAACUGUAAACAUGGUGCAAUUGUUUUACAACUGAUCCAACUUUUCCAUUCUGAAUUCAAUAAAGCCAAAUACGAAAUGGAAAGAUUGUGGGACUUUGGUGGUCAAAAUAUUUAUCACAUGACGCAUCAACUGUUUAUUACAAGUAGGGGUACAUUCGUCCUGAUCUUCAAUGGCAGCAAAGGUAUUCAUGAAGAAAUAUCAGACUACAUAGACUUCCUAGCUGUAACGAUCAACGAAAUACAGCAGUCAUGUUACCCAUUAGUAAAUAAGAAAACACGUCAUCUUUUUACAGAAAAAUAAGACAUUUUAUAAGGAAGAAGUUUGAGCAGUUUCACCACAAAAUCUGAUGAUUAUUUUAUAAAGCAAACUUAUUUAAAUAGCCGAACAUAUCAUCAGUUAUUUGGGACAUUUUUAAGGCUUUUAAUAAUUGAUUGAUUGAUUGUUGGUUGCUUAACGUCCAGUGGCAAAUAUUUCAUGCAUAUUCAGGACGAGAACAAGUUCACAAUAAAUACAAUAAGUAGGUUGUUGUAAUAGAGGCCAUCUAGGAUGAUGGUCGGGGAAAUUUGGACUGCCACUGGAAAAUGAGGGUAUAUUGGAUAGGGACAGAAAUGUUGCCUUGCAACAGGCCACCUACGGACCCCUCACAGAGUUGUUGCAAGGGUUCUUAACGUGCAAAGAGCGUGGCACUCUAUUUACACGAGGCAUCGGAUUUAACGUCCCCUUCUGACGGACGUGACUGCAAACUUGAUACAUCCCGCACAGCCAAACGGACGCCCCACUUCAGCAAGCGUUUUACUGCCGGUCGGGAGAAGACCAAGUGACCAUAUUUCUAUACCCCAGUCACCCUUGGGGUCCUUUUAAUAAUUGAAUUACUUUUUGUUUUCUUAUUGAUUAAUUUAGUUUUUUUUCCCCUUCAUUUUAAUAGUUGACUAUUCUCAUUGUAAUGGAGCGUUGAAAGACAGCUACAUUUGUCUGUUCAUCCGUCACAAAAUCAAGUUGUGUCUUUUUGUGACUAACAACCAUUUAAUUGUAAACAUGGUACAAUUGUUUAAUAACUGACCCAACUUGUCUGUCCUGAAUUCAAUAAAGCCACAUACGAAAUGGUCAAAAAAUCACUUGACGCAUCAACUGUUUAUUACAAGUAGGAGUACAUUUGUUCAAAUCUUCAAUGGUGGCAAAGGUAUUCAUGAAGACACCAGACUACAUAGGAUUUCCUGGCUGUCAAAAUUAAUGGAAUACAGCAGAUGUAUUACCCAUUAGUAAGUGAGAAAAAUAAGUUGUCUAUUUGAAUACAAAUAAGAUAUUUUAUAGUCUUUAGAUAGGGUUUUCAGCAGUUUUACCCCAAAACCUGAUGGUUAUGUUAUAAAUGGAAAGUAAUUAUAACAUUAAGACUUAACCAUUUGGUAAUAUUUUUUUUUGUUUUACAUUGAUUUGUUUGUUUUAUUUAUUAGUUUAGUUUGUUUUUAAUUUUAAUGGUUGAAUUAUUAAUCACAUUGUAAAGUUGACAAUUAUUUGCUUGAUAACAAAGUGCAAUUGUUUUGCAACUGUACCAACGAGUCGGCUCUGAAAACUAUAAAGCCACAUACGAAAUGGAAAGAUUGUGGGACUUUGGUGGUCGAAAUUAUCACAUGACUCACCAACUGUUUAUUACAAGUAGGGGUAUAUUUGUUCUGAUCUUCAAUGGCGGCAAAGGUAUUUAUGAAGAAAUAUCAAGACUACCAAUGACUUCAUGGUUGUCAAAAGCAAAGCAAUACAUCAGAUAUGUUAUCCAUUUAUAAAUGAGAAAAACACAAAUAAGACAUUGCAUAGUCUUUCGAUUAGUGUUUGAUCAGGUUUACUACAGUACCUGAUGGUUAUUUUAUAAAAGAAAGUAAUUUAAAAUGCAGACAAAGAUAUCAGCAGUAAUUUGGGACAUUUUAAAGACUUUUAAUCAUUUUUGAUAAGUUGUGAUCCAAACCUAUUAAUUCAGCCGAAAACAGCUGAACCUCCAUGCUGGGGAGAACAAAUGCCAAAUGUGUGUGUCCACCCAGAACUAGAGGUUGCUGACUUAGUAAAAUGAAAGCUUCCAGCACAAAACAAUCAGAGGUCUAACAUUUGAAAAUUGAUGCUGGGGCGAAAAUGCUAUAUGAGUGUGUCCACCUAGAAUUUGAAGUAGUUGUCUAAGUAGCUGAAUGAAAGCUAUCACAUUUCUAACAUUAAAGUCAUGCUGGGGGAGAAAUGCCAAAAUGCGUGUGUCCACCCAGAACUUGAGGAGUUGGCUGACGAAAGUCAGAUAAUGUAUGUCAGAGUUUAAAAAAUGGUCAAUGUGGUUUUUUUUUUUGCAACUGUAAAUAGUUAUCAAAUCAAAGCUACCCGGAUUGUAAUUUAAUACGCCAGACGCGUGUUUCGUUUACAUAAGACUCAUCAGUGACGCUCAGAUCAAAAUAGUUAUCAAAGAGCAUUGAGGACCCAAAAUUCCAAAAAGUUGUACCAAAGGUAAUCUAUGCCUGGGGUAAGACGUGUGUAAACUUAACUUAAAUACUUAAAAACUUUUUUAAAGUCUAUUUUAGAUUUUAGCAAGUGUAUAUAUAUUCACGGAG
rnacentral:lncRNA from 1 species